rnacentral:rRNA from 1 species
ACAUGCCUACAACAUAGUGUUAAUGCACCAGAUUCAAUUAGAAAUUUGCAAUUAAGCGCGCUCGGGCUAGAGUAGUAUUGGGAUCGGUGAUCGCCUGGGAAAUCCUAGUAUUUUACAUGCC